rnacentral:rRNA from 1 species
GACGUAGGGCGCGAGCGUUGUCCGGAUUUAUUGGGCGUAAAGAGCUCGUAGGCGGCUUGUCGCGUCGACUGUGAAAACCCGUGGCUCAACCAUGUGGUCUGCAGUCGAUACGGGCAGGCUAGAAUUCGGUAGGGGAGACUGGAAUUCCUGGUGUAGCGGUGAAAUGCGCAGAUAUCAGGAGGAACACCGGUGGCGAAGGCGGGUUGCUGGGCUGACACUGACGCUGACAGCGCGAAAGCUAGGGGAGCGAACGGG